rnacentral:tRNA from 1 species
GCGGGAAUGGCGGAAUGGUAUACGCGUCUGAUUUAGGAUCAGGAUUUUGAGAGUUCGAAUCUCUCUUCCCGUAC